AGAAUCAACGCUGGCGGCGUGCCUAACACAUGCAAGUCGCACGAGAAAGGGACUUCGGUCCUGAGUACAGUGGCGCACGGGUGAGUAACACGUGACUAACCUACCCUUGAGUGGGGGAUAACCUAGGGAAACCUGGGCUAAUACCGCAUAAUACCUUCGGGUCAAAGGAGCAAUUCGCUUAAGGAGGGGGUCGCGGCCGAUUAGUUAGUUGGCGGGGUAAUGGCCCACCAAGACUGUGAUCGGUA
rnacentral:rRNA from 1 species